rnacentral:rRNA from 1 species
GACGAACGCUGGCGGCGUGCUUAACACAUGCAAGUCGAACGGAAAGGCCCUGCUUUUGUGGGGUGCUCGAGUGGCGAACGGGUGAGUAACACGUGAGUAACCUGCCCUUGACUUUGGGAUAACUUCAGGAAACUGGGGCUAAUACCGGAUAGGAGCUCCUGCUGCAUGGUGGGGGUUGGAAAGUUUCGGCGGUUGGGGAUGGACUCGCGGCUUAUCAGCUUGUUGGUGGGGUAGUGGCUUACCAAGGCUUUGACGGGUAGCCGGCCUGAGAGGGUGACCGGCCACAUUGGGACUGAGAUACGGCCCAGACUCCUACGGGAGGCAGCAGGGGGGAAUAUUGCCCAAUGGGCGGAAGCCUGAUGCAGCAACGCCGCGUGCGGGAUGACGGCCUUCGGGUUGUAAACCGCUUUCGCCUGUGACGAAGCGUGAGUGACGGUAAUGGGUAAAGAAGCACCGGCUAACUACGUG